UAUUUUUUCCUCCACCUUCUUCAAUUGUUCCUACAAACUUGGUGACAGAAUCAGACAAGUUGCCAGAGAAGUCCAGACAAAGUUUCCCACAGCUCAGAACACAUUAUCUUAUAACUCACUAAUAAUCAUCAGCAGAGGAGUUGUUUCCAGAAGGAAGCAGUAGUACUUCUCAUUUUGCCUGCAAGAGGCAUUUGUCUCGGGACAUUUAGAUGCUUUAGAACAGAAGAACGGCCCUACUGGGGUAGACCACAGGUCCAUCUAGCCCAGUAUCCUGUCUUCCGACAGUGGCCAUUGCCAGAUGCCCCAGAGGGAAUGAAUAGAACAGAGAGCAUCUCAUCUCAACUAGGAUAAUGGAAUUUUAUGUAGGAAGACCAGAGGAACAACAAUUAAUCCAAAAGUAUAUCAAGAACCAACCACCCUGGUGGCAGAAACUGAGGACAGGUAGAAAACUGAGAACAGGAUGAAAUACAUGCGAAUCCCAAUUCCUUACUACUGCAACUGAACGAGCAGCAGCUACAAUCAAGAAUUCAGUUGCAAGCACAAGAGGUCAGACUAGUGCAGAGUAUGGAUCUUGCUAACAACAGAGGCCUCAACUUGCUACUCAAUUUCCUGCUUAUUGUUAUGGUUCUGGUGCUCAUGUUUAUCCUUGUGAAACUCAUGUGAAUCUCCUUGAGGUUCUGCUUUUUUUGCAAUGAUAACUUAACACAACAUGUGAAGAUUGCAUAAACUAGAAAAGUGUCUAUAAAGUAUAUGAAUAUUACAUGCUCAUGUAUCUACUCUACAGCAAAAUAUCUUAAAAGCAAAACAAUCAACAUAUUUGCCAAAGGCUAAGAGGAGUGUAUAAUUCCAUGCUGGCGACAAAAGGACACUGUAUCUAAGCAUACACAGUACUCUUGCCACUGGUAUAAUAAACCGAUUACUUGUAUUUAAACAACGAAGAAUCAAAGGCAGAAUUCUUCUAGGAGUACAAUCUCUGCAAAGAGGAGAACAGAAACAACAACAAUGGAAUCUUCAUAGAGCGGCCUCUCUGAAGAAAACUGAAACACAGGCCUGAAAAGGACAAGAGAGAUGCCUAAAGCUGAUUGAUGGCAAGUAUCAGAUUACGUAUGGAAAAGAAAAAACAAAAAUGUUGUUGUGGCUAUUCAAAAGCAAAUCCCACCAUCUGGUUACAGGAUUUGUCAUGCAUGUUCAAAUAUAAAAAAUUAUUAACUGCAGUUUUUUAAAAGGCGUACCAUCCACUGCAGCAUUUGAAGGGGAGGAAAAAAACAAAACAAAAAAAAACACCUCAGCAAGCAGUUCUAUUAUGCAUCAGUAUUGAAAGAAUUACACCAAUCACCAGCUGUUAAGCUUAAUAUUUUGAGCAGUAACAAGGUAAUAUAAAAUAGAGAAUGCUAUCAAGUCUCACUCUACUUCAGUCUCUCUGAAGUUUGCUGAAAGUCUCAUGCAAUAGUAGAUGGGAUGGCCUGGAUACUUACAAUUAAAGCUUCUCACUGUUGUCUGCAAAUGAAGUAUGUGCAAUAAAUAUCUAAACAGCCUUUUCAAAAAUCAAAAAGACAUAUAUAGCAACAAGCUGUAAAGUCAAUAGCUAUUCUAUGUUGAUACACUAUUGUCAAUUUCUGUAUCGAUUGUCAAUGUAUGUUUCAAAGAGGAAAAGUUACCCAGCUACUUCAUUAUAAGCACUUUAUCACCUUUUGUUUGAUAUUUUGGAGGAUAUUCUGCUUUUAUAAAAUGUCUGUACAUUCAUAUACGAGGGAUCUAAAUUAUAGCAAUGGGUUCAUUUAAUGUUUUGAUUAACCCGUUUAGAGCCUCACUGAGUAGGCACAUUACCACAAUAUGAAGUAUACCAAAUCCAAACAUACAAACUAAUCCAAAGCCCACUGCAGUCAAAAGGAACGACCAUGCUAUAAUUUUCUAACGACAUGCCUAUUCACAGAUAUGCUGCAUAUAUCGCUUUAGAAUGUACUGUGUAUAUAUAAACAACUACAGCUAUCUAAGAGUUUGUAUCAAAAGAGACAAUUUGAAAAAAAGGAAAAACGGUGACUCUAUGGGUUGUAUUUAUAUUUCACUUUUUAUCCCAAAUCACUUUACAAAUGAAGCAUACAAGAAUCUCACCACCCUCCACUAAUGCGUAGCUACCUCUGGGGACGAAUGAAACAACUGUUUAUCAACCAAGCAGUGACACUACACAAGUUUGAGACAGACACUAAAACAUACAGCUUUAACUAGACAGAAUAUAAAUUUGUAUGAGCUACUGGGAGUAACAUGUCUUCUGCAGCAAACAGAGGCAUAAUAUUUUUACUGAUCAAAAAUGGUCAAGAUUGGAUUUACACAUCAGCCAUCAGCAUGUAUUGAAAACCAGUCCCACAUACUUAUUGUAUUAAGAUGAAGCCCUAGUUGUCAAAUCCCAAGACCACCAACUUCACAACGAACAGAAUAUAAAAAGCAACUUCAGUGAGGCACAACAAUGAAUAUUAAUUAAACUAAAAGUGACUGCAGUUUUUAGCAUGAAAAAUUCUCUGAAAAUACCAUUUAAUUAAAAAUGAAAUUUUCUGUGGGGAAAUGUUGAUUUUGAGAAAAGAUUUCAAUUUUUUGAUCAGGUGGGACCAAAGUAAAAAUAUUAUGAGUUGACAUUUCAAAAUGAAACUAUUUCUUCAUUUCAAAAUGUCAAUUUGAAGAGAAUGGUAUCAUUCAACAUGUCAGAUUGUUUUGCUCACAAAUGUAGACAUUUAGUUGAGUAUUUCCAAUUCACAAGUUUAAAUAUUUUGAUUUACAAAAUGUUUUGAUAUUUUGACUUUCCAUUCUGAUUUGGAAUGCAAACUAAUUUUGAAUUGUCUAAAUUUUCCAAGAGACUAAAAAAAUCAUCUCCCAAACAGCUCUAAUAUUAACCUAUGCAUGCUUUAAACAGAGAGGAGGGCUAAGCACCUCGUUAAUGGCAAAAAGACAAAUUAAGGGGAAAGCCAGACUACUAAGUAACUUCCAUCCAGCACAGAUGUUGCCUCCCAGAUGAACUGGUGCAGUAUACUAAACUCAAGUGUAAUCGCGGUAUGAAACAAAAACACACACACACACACACACACACACACACACACACACACACACACACACAAUGAGAGCACUGGGGGUGGCGGUAGGAUGUGUGGUGAGGACAUGGGCCUGGCGUCAGCACAGGGCCAGCUUCACUCCACACAGCCGCCCUGGGGCCAGUCCCAGUUUACUCAAGGUAGUGAGACCCCACCCAGGAAAUGGUGGGGGGGAAGGGUGCUCCACUCAUCAUGCAAACCCAGCUGCUCAGAUCGGGGAGAAGGCCAGCAUGAGCCAGCAUCCGACACUGCCCCCCUUAGUGCCUGGAGAACCAACCCCUCCCCAGAGUUCCCUUUGGGCCACUGUAGCUCUGACCUCUUCGUGCCGUGAUGGGGCCAGGAAUGGUAGUACCAUGAUGCAGGACUCAGCCUACGGAGCUGCAUGUGGUUUCUUGUGCAAAGGAGCAAACAUGGCUCCUCCAGUUAUUCCUGCAGGAUGUUUCUGCAUCCUUGGUUUCAAGAUUUCUGUGGGUCCAACUGAACCCAUGAACCCCUGCUAAAGCCACCCUGGCUUCCACCUAUUAUAACAAUACUAGAGUCAGAUGCAAGUCAGGGUAGUCUAAAGAAGCCUCUUUUCACCAAGUAUACAAACAUACUGUAUAUUAAAAGAGAAGGAAGAUGUUCUUCCAAAGACACCUAGUACAUAGUACUAAUACGCAGGUUUGCAACCUGCUGAAACAUUUCUUACUGUAUGUUCUCCUGCAGUUUUCAAGACAAAGUAUUUUAAUUUUAAAUCUUAUUUCUAGUUGCUGUACAACAUUCAGCUCUACAUCAACAAUAUCAAGGUUUGAGAAACUACUAUUCACAAAUACUCCUAGUCAAACCUUUCACAGCCUUAAGGGGCAUAUUUCUUCACUUCAAAUUUUAUGCCCGGCUUCUAGUUAAAUCAAUGGGAGCCUUGGUCAUGCAUCUGAGGCUAAAAUUUUGCCCUAAAAGGUGCCUAAUCCUGCAGCACUUUCCUGUGGAAAAAAGUUACCUAAAAAUGGGAUUUCUGUGUGCUGGAAUAUUAGGCAUAAGUAGGGAAUAACUAAGCAUAAUGCCUAAUGGCAUGGGAAUAUAUAGUGUGGAUCUUUCUAGCUCACUAAGAAAAGGUUAACCUUAUGUUUAAAAAAAAAUAAAAUAUCUGCUUCUUGAAGGUCUGUUUAUAUCUUAGAUUAGAGGAUUUGAUGAGAGACAUGCCCUCAAAACAGCACAUGUUGGUGAAGACAACCUCAAGAAUGCUCCCAUGAUGUUACUGAGUAUCAGAGAAACACUUAAAAGCUAGUAACCUCCCCUGAAAUUUGUUUCACAACACAUAUGUUUAGAUAUUAUAGCCGGAGGUGAACAUUUUAUAAUCUCUUCAGAGUAAUAUGCAUCUCCUUUGAAAAUCUAAUCUGUUGAUCCACGUCACUUUUUUUAAAAAACAGUUCCAAUAUAAAGAUGCUUUUCACAUAGCCUGAGGUUGAGUACAGAAUGUGUUUAAUAGACCAACUUUUCUGCACACACUUUCUGAUGUAAUGUUCAGGGCAAGUUAUCAUUGUUCUAGCUACAUUCUUAGUCAAAGAUAAAUUUGGUUAUAAUUUUGUGUUUUCUUUAGUGUAGAAACAGCGUAUGUGGCUUCUUUCUGCCUGCUCUAAAAAUCACUGCAUUUCAAUCAGUACACAUACUUCCAAACAGAUGGCACAUUUCUUAUUGCACUGUUAAAAGAUUGUCACCAUCAGCAAAAAUGGUCUCUAGUGUCAUGAAAUGAAACUCCUUACUUUGAAAAGGAAAAUAAGGUUUACCAUCCUGUUAUUGUAUUGUACACAGUAUCACUGCUUUACUAUUUUUUUAAUAAAACUAACUUUUAACAAGAUUUUUAAUUUUUCAUAAACAGUAGCAAAUCAACUUCAGGAGAUUCUGCUGUUUGGACAGUAUUCAAUAUGUAAAAUAGCAUUACAAAUAAAUAAAUUUUAUUGCAGAAACAUUU